CCACAGUUCCAGGUGAGAAGGAUGCAGACUUUAUCUCUCCUACCCGAGGGAGAGAGAGAAGAGAAUUGAGAUCUGCUCCCCCGUGGUCCCUUCCUGCCCCAGGGCCACUCCAGUUCACCUGCAGCAUUCUGGCCUCUGCUCAGAGGGCCUCUGUCCCAGGACUGACUGCAGCCUUUUCUUCACUUGUCUAUAUUUCCUGUUCCUUUCAGAAGUUGGUCUCUUCUCUGCAAUUCAAACCUGGCAGAUGUGAUGGUGGUCAGCGAGCUGGUGGGCAGUCAUUUGGGGACUCCCAGGAGCCAUGCUGAUUCUCCUGAGUCUCUCAUUCGGGGUUACAAAACUGUCGAGCACCGGAGGAAGCCCAUUCACGUGAGGAAGCCCCUUACGCAUAUGCAGACGUUCCCAUCUUCCCCAUCCUCCCACAGCCCCAGGAAGCCACUUUUCUCUCUCUGUGGAUUUGCCUGUGCUGGAAAUUUCAUCAGCAGCUAGUCAGUUUCUGCAGAGGAGCCCGCAGGGAUUCUGAUCGAGACCACGUUGAAUAUACGGAUCGCUCUGGGGAGCACUGCCAUUCCAAGAGCUCUGUCUUCUGAUUCAGGAAUAUUCGUGGUGUGUCUGUCCAGGUGCCCUCACCUCCAGUAGCAUCCAUCCAGACACCAGCACUGACACUGGCAGUGCUCAGAACUGCCUCAGCCCUGAAGACACAACUGACAAAUAGAAGGGGGCCAAGCCCUGUUACAGCAGGUGCUCUCAAUUUGUGGGUCCUUAUGUAACUGCACGUUGUUAUUCAGGAUCGCCCGUUCUACAUUGUGUAGCCCUGCUGCGGUGUCUCCUAGUUACUUGUUUCUAUACUCAGCAGUCCCUGCACCAUUUGUUGAAUAGACUAUUCUUUCAAUGGAGUGUUGUUGGCAACAUUGUGGAAAACUGACUGUAAAUAUAAAGAGACUGAGAAUUAGGCCUUCUCUCUUUUGGGUGGAGCUCAUUAUCAAUGACGGGAAGUUGUAAGGAAAAAGACAUUGAUUCAUCCUGAGAAAACAUUUUUCUGAGAGACAGCAUUGAAGAGGAUGACCACUGAAGAAGGUGAUCAUUGUUCGAUUGAGACGAGCCCCGGGUUGUACGGAGUCAGCAUCCCUGUCCUGGACACGGUCAGUGUAGUGCUGCAUGGUGGGUGAGGCAGCAUGGCCGCGCAGGGAACACGGAUGCCGGGCCGUUGGGCUGUGCUCAGGCCCAGUGGGGCUUUCUCCUAAGGGCAGUGAGCCGUCAUUGACAGAUUUUAAGUACGGGAGUGGGGCGCUCUCGUAGAUCACUUUUGUCUUGUAGAAUGCUUAGAAACAUUUAGAAGGCUCGGCAGAAGGUGAUGUGAUGAGUCAGAUUAGGGUGGCUGCCAGGUGUAGGAGUGUAGAAUGUUCAAGUGGUUUUCAGUCCCAGUUUUGUGUCUCAGUAGCCGUGUCACUUUGGAUGACGCACUCAAGGAAGAGAAACAAUUUAUCUAAUCAAUUAAAGAAGUGAUGUACCGACCUCCCAGGACUGCUGUGGAGAUCCUGUGAGAUAACGUGUGUACAGUGUGCAGCGUGGUCCCCAGAACACAGUCAGUGCUGAGUGAGUGCCAGUGAGUACCUGGUAGGUCAGGUGUGGGUGUUGGGACUCGGUGACUGAGGAAAUCUGGGCCCUGAAGGAGGGGUCCAGUCACAUCUGUGAGUGAUGGGCCUGAGCUGGGAGAGGCAGGGAGACCUUGCCCCCCGACCAGGGGCCCUGGGCAGGACGGCUAUGGGAGGAGCACCAUGAAGUCAGAUCUUUGCAGGUGGAGUUCGAGUUGCCCUUGAGACAUCUAAGUGCAUUGUCAUGAGCUCAAAGAGGAGGUCUGGGCCCGGGCUGUGAAUUUUCCUAUAAUCUCAAUCCCUGAGGACGCCGAGGUAUUGAUCACUGAACGUGAAGACAUACUUUAAAGGACAAGUGAAUAGUAGUAUCAUCUCUGUCAUCAAAGCUCACAUCUCUUUAUUCAUCACAAGUUUGCUAUUGGGUACUUACAGAGCUCACUUCACCGCCCUCCCCUGGACUCAGGCUUCACAGUAAAGAGCUGGUGAGCCUCCCUCUUUUCCAGAAGAAGACACAUUUAGCUGGUAGCCUUCUG